ACCGUAGUUGCGUGGACAUUCCACCACACGCCAUCGGUCGGGGAUAGUCUACCACAAGGUGUCGGAGAGAGCUUGAUUUCGUCGUCCGUGUCUGAGGUGUUUGAAGCUUCUUCAGAAAGUAAGCUCCCAAUGUCCACAGGGUUACUGGUAGUCACAGUAUUCCUCUUCUUAAUCUUAGGAACUGAGGCCGGCAGCCUCAAGAAAUCUGAGCAUGGCACAUCAAGAGAGAAGAAGGAAAAGGCAACAGAUUACGCCAACGACUCCGACGUUAGGUUUGAACCAAGAUCAGUCGCCGACGGACGUCAUCCUUCCAGUAAAUUCCCGGAUUCGCUCCUGCCGUCCUUAAUUUACAAGUCGUUCUUGGAAAAUCCUUCCAGGAACAAAGGAUACUUCGUCUUCCUUCCGCCUGAUGAGGGUCCCCCACAACACGGACAUUUAGCAAACCAGAUUCUUUCCCAUCCUCCUCCUCUUCUUCCUCCUACUCCUCCCCCUACUUCCCAU